CAGCUACAUUCCAAAACUCAUUUUCAUCCAGGAGUAUUGAAAAGGGGGAUGGCCACUGAAGCUGUGACAUAGUUUCAAUCUGCAGAACAUGCCUAGGGAGACAUGAGACAUCAAUCAAUAUAUGUAAAAAGUACACUGGUUUGGUCUGGAAAGCUGGGACAACUUGAAGCAAAGGCAGGAAGACUCAAAGUGGGAAGGAGCUUCCAGGUCACAGACAGGCCUUCAAGCAGUACUGAGGAGUGACCCCAGCCAAUUGCCCUCAAUUUCCAAGGAGCUACUAGGAAACAGCUGCUGAAAGACUGAAAAAGAAAGAGAAAAAAAAAA